rnacentral:piRNA from 1 species
UAUCAAAGAACAAAGUGCUUUGGGUGU